rnacentral:tRNA from 1 species
UCCCAGGUGGCUCAGGGCUAAAGAAUCUGCCUGCAGUGCAGGAGACUCAGGUUAGAUCCCUGGGUUGGGAA